rnacentral:lncRNA from 1 species
CUUCACUGAAGAUAAAACCAAAUGAAACUUCAAAACAAUAAGAAGAAAUCAAAAUGAAAGUAUAACGGGAAGGAAAGGCGACGAAUGCACCAACGCCAUAACAGAAGAUCCAAAUAAAUCACAUCCAAUACGAAAAAAUCCAACUCGAAAUGAAAGGGUUAUAACACGAUUAAACAAAACAAAAUCAACACCGUAACCGUAAUGUCGAACCGAUGUUGAAGCUAUGGAUAAAAGUCCGGUUUAAAACGCAAUGUAAUCAAAACACGGCCACGGUACCACAUUCAUACAAUUGCAUCGUUAUCAUAAAAUUAAACUGAGAAGUCCUCAGCAGAAUGAAAGGAAGCAGCAGUCUAUUACCAUUCAUUUACAUCUCACAUGCUUAUUUAUACUCAUCCAAAAUGACAAGAGAACAUCAGUAACCAAAAUAGAGAUGAAACGUCGACUCUCCAUAACAUCAUACACGUUAAAACCAAAUAAGUUCAUAGUUUAAAUUGUUACCGAGUUGAUGGGAGGACGGACCGAAGUGAUUGCUUGGUAUUGCGUCAUUACUUAACCACGUUCAGAGCUGGAAAUUGUUUUUUAUUGAUAAAGCUUAUGGAUCUGAAUAACGAUCUUUGUAUGAUGCUCAAGGCUUCCAAUACCCCGCACCCUAUCUGAACCCAAAUGGGGUUACCGCGAAAACUGAAGGUUGUCGCGAGUCCAUGGUCGCAUUUGCUCCCUAAAGUUACAAAAGAGUGAACCACCAUCUCUGACUAAACACCACCGUAUCAGAGACGAAGUUGAAUGACAUCAUCUUGAACACGACAUCACAAACCAAAUCCCUAAACAUAUUUAUUCAUGAAAACAACCUUCUCUAGUAAUCUCUGCUUGCAUCAAUGGAAGGUAGUGCAGUUUAGAUGCACUGAUGUCUUACCACGAUGGUGCAGCUGAAGGAGGGAGGCGUUGAAGAAGUUUGUCGGAAGUGUAAAUCGUGGUGGAUAGGAAGAAGAAGACAGAUGGGUUAACGGUGAUGCACGGAAGGUGAAGGGUUCGCCGACGGAAGAGAGAAGGGAAGGUCUGGUUUCGCCGGAUGAUUUCUGUGGUUGGAACGGAAAAAAUGGUGGCGAUUGGAAAUGGUGAAGAA